rnacentral:rRNA from 1 species
CAAAGGUGAGCCAGUACAGGAUGGACCCGCGUCUGAUUAGCUAGUUGGUAAGGUAACGGCUUACCAAGGCGACGAUCAGUAGCCGACCUGAGAGGGUGAUCGGCCACAUUGGAACUGAGACACGGUCCAAACUCCUACGGGAGGCAGCAGUGGGGAAUAUUGCACAAUGGGCGAAAGCCUGAUGCAGCAACGCCGCGUGAGUGAUGAAGGCCUUCGGGUCGUAAAACUCUGUCCUCAAGGAAGAUAAUGACGGUACUUGAGGAGGAAGCCCCGGCUAACUACGUGCCAGCAGCCGCGGUAAUACGUAGGGGGCUAGCGUUAUCCGGAUUUACUGGGCGUAAAGGGUGCGUAGGCGGUCUUUCAAGUCAGGAGUGAAAGGCUACGGCUCAACCGUAGUAAGCUCUUGAAACUGGGAGACUUGAGUGCAGGAGAGGAGAGUGGAAUUCCUAGUGUAGCGGUGAAAUGCGUAGAUAUUAGGAGGAACACCAGUUGCGAAGGCGGCUCUCUGGACUGUAACUGACGCUGAGGCACGAAAGCGUGGGGAGCAAACAGGAUUAGAUACCCUGGUAGU